CUUUUGUCCCACAAUAGAAGCCUAUCUAACUCAUUGUUAGGGUUCAGCAUCUCUUCCUCAUUCUCAUCGACGAAGAGGAGAGACACGUUGUUGUUUCUCUGCCUCGAAGAUACCACUGCGUCCAACCGUAGCCACCCUUUCACGACGUGUGUCAAUUGUUGUUUCUUUCGACCAUCCCAAUCUCGGAACCCGCCACUUCACCUACUUCUUCGUCGUUCGAGCCUCCUCUUCGCGAUCCCAGGGGAAGACCGCCGCAAGGAGAGGAGAUGGCAUUGCCAAGAUCGAAAAAACGCACCGAAACCUUUCGCCACAUCUUCAAGGAUCUUCGGUACCAGUCGCUGCUGCCACUCCGUCAACUCAGGGAGUCGCGAGCAUUUGCUCUCCCUUCAUAGAGGUGUCGUCCUCGGUGCCGUUACCGAGGAUCAGCUCUGCUGGUGUUUCUUCAUCGCCGCCGCCGCCUCUGUUCAACGCAUUGAAGCGUUAUUGGAAUGAUGCGGUGGGUUUGGUGGUGGUUGCGGUAGCCUCACCUCUGCUAUUUCUGGAUACGUGAACUGCACCUUCUCCAUUGCAAUGAUGCCGCUUUUGAUCCCAUCACCGUUGUUCAGAGUGGUGCCAUCCACUGUUCGUACAUCAAUCUCGACACCGUCAAUCCCAAUCACGCUAGAAUCCUCGCAUUCAAGGUUACGUUGAACAAAUUUUGGCGGAAGUUCCUUUAAUUUCUUCAAGUAUCUUGGUCUGUUUUUGAUAAUUUGAAUUCAAAUAUUGUAAGCUAGUUUCUUCAUGUAUCAAGUCACUUGACAAUUCGGUGCCCCAGUAUCAAAUGGGGUUGAGGUUUGUACCCUUGAUCAUCUAAUAAAAAUGGGGUGAGAAUGUUAGGAGGAUUUGGAUUGUC